rnacentral:rRNA from 1 species
GUGUCAGCAGCCGCGGUAAAACCAGCACCUCAAGUGGUCAGGAUGAUUAUUGGGCCUAAAGCAUCCGUAGCCGGCUCUGUAAGUUUUCGGUUAAAUCUGUACGCUUAACGUACAGGCUGCUGGGAAUACUGCAGGGCUAGGGAGUGGGAGAGGUAGACGGUACUCGGGAGGAAGUGGUAAAAUGCUUUGAUCUCUCGAUGACCACCUGUGGCGAAGGCGGUCUACCAGAACACGUCCGACGGUGAGGGAUGAAAGCUGGGGGAGCAAACCGGAUUAGAUACCCGGGUAGUCCCAGCUGUAAACUAUGCAAACUCAGUGAUGCGCUGGCUUAUGGCUAGUGCAGUGUUGCAGGGAAGCCGUUAAGUUUGCCGCCUGGGAAGUACGUACGCAAGUAUGAAACUUAAAGGAAUUGGCGGGGGAGCACCACAAGGGGUGAAGCCUGCGGUUCAAUUGGAGUCAACGCCAGAAAUCUUACCCGGAGAGACAGCAGAAUGAAGGUCAAGCUGAAGACUUUACCAGACAAGCUGAGAGGUGGUGCAUGGCCGUCGCCAGCUCGUGCCGUGAGAUGUCCUGUUAAGUCAGGUAACGAGCGAGAUCCCUGCCUCUAGUUGCCACCAUUACUCUCAGGAGUAGUGGGGCGAAUUAGCGGGACCGCCGCAGUUAAUGCGGAGGAAGGAAGGGGCCACGGCAGGUCAGUAUGCCCCGAAACUCUGGGGCCACACGCGGGCUGCAAUGGUAACGACAAUGUGUUUCGAAUCCGAAAGGAAGAGGUAAUCCUCAAACGUUACCACAGUUAUGACUGAGGGCUGCAACUCGCCCUCACGAAUAUGGAAUCCCUAGUAACUGCGUGUCAUUAUCGCGCGGUGAAUACGUCCCUGCUCCUUGCACACACCGCCCGUC